UACGAAGGGUGCAAACGUUGCUCGGAAUUAUUGGGCGUAAAGCGCACGUAGGCGGCCUUAUAAGUCGGAUGUGAAAUCCCUCGGCUCAACUGAGGAAGUGCAUUCGAAACUGCAAGGCUCGAGUAUGGAAGAGGGUCGCAGAAUUCCCGGUGUAGAGGUGAAAUUCGUAGAUAUCGGGAGGAAUACCAGUGGCGAAGGCGGCGACCUGGGCCAAUACUGACGCUGAGGUGCGAAAGCGUGGGGAGCAAACAGG
rnacentral:rRNA from 1 species